UCUGGUAGUCUCAAAAUCAAAGAGUUCAGGUCAUGCAAUACAGGAAAACCGAACUUUAGACCUAAGAAGAACCUGCCUAUGACUCUUGAAAAUCCACACAGUAAACAGAACACCCCAAAAGUGAAAACGACUGUCCUCCUAUGACUAGGACUUGAAAGGACUUUUUUUCCUGGAUGAAUACCUUAGUCACAAAGGAUGUAUGUAAGGGGUAAUACCAAAGUUCUCACGACUCAGAAGAAUUUAGAUGAACCCUCGCUCUGUCACCCAGGCUAGAGUGCAGUGGCGUGAUCUUGGCUCACUGCAACCUCUGCCUCCCAGGUUCAAGUGAUUCUCCUGCCUCAGCCUCCCAAAUAGCUGGGACUACAGGUGCCAGCCACGAUGCCCAGCUAAUUUUUUGCACUUUUAGUAGAGACAGGGUUUCACCAUGUUGGCCAGGCUGGUCUCAAACUCCUGAUAUCAGGUGACCCGCCCGCCUCGGCCUCCCAAAGUGCUGGGAUUACAGGAAUGAGCCACCACGCCCGGCCAGGGUCAACAUUUUAUUUCAAAUCUUUAAUAUUCUAUAUUCAGUAGAAGGCUUUUUUAGAAAAAGUCUAAAUAAGAUUCUGACAAAUCAAAAGAAUAGUUUUGCUUACUAACAACACUUUAUACUAAUAGUGGAAUACAAUACUUAAAAAAUAUUUAAUUUGCAAGUGAUGAUUGACUACUAAAAUCUCCUUUUGGCGAAUGUAAAAAUUUAAGAAGCUCCAGGACAAAGUACUGGAAACUUUAAUAGCAGAUGAGCAUUCAUCCCCUCCCAAAUGUUUUUAUUUUGUUUAGACUGAAACUUUCAUUAGACGUGGUUGAAAACCAUGAAACCUAUGUACAAAUUGUCUUAAGUAUUCGAUAUUUAAUUUAAAAACUGUGAGCACUGAAGCAUAGAUAAAUUGUAAUUACAGAACAAUUUAAUUUUUUUAAUGAUUCACAUAAGAAAAACAAAUCUUUUUUCUUUAUAGUUAUAUCCAUAUAAUUAUGGUUAUAUCCAUAUAGUUAUAUAGGUUAUAUCCAUAUAGUUAUAGAAAUACAUGUUAUGGUUAUAUCCAUACAGUUAUAUAUAUAUAUAUAAUUAUAGUAAUAUCCAUAUAAGCAUAUAUUUGUUUAUAUUUCUGGGAAAUAAAUAUAAUAUGUAUAAUAUCCAUUCAAAUUUAGAAAUUGUUUUCUUACUCUCAGACUGCUUAUCAUGUCUAUCUAUCUAUCUAUCGGGGUAUGUUUAAGUUUAAAAGUAAAGUUGUCAUUUUUUAAAAACAUUGUGACUCCAAAAAUAAUAUCUGAUGUUGCUGUACAUGAGCACCAUGUAUCUUUCAUCUAACCUGCAGAAAAAUUAAAAUGAUUUAAUCUCACA
rnacentral:lncRNA from 1 species